rnacentral:lncRNA from 10 species
AUACUUGCUUUUUUUCUAUACUUUCUUUCGCAAUGCAAGUAGGGAGCUUAGAAUGGACAGUUCCCAGAAUCCUCCACCAGCAGGGUUUAAUUUGGAUUCAGAAUUUGUGUCAGAUUUAGAUGAAAGAGAACAGGAGAAGCACUGUUCUCCUCUGGCAGCAGAAGACACCUGCAGGGGCAGAGGACUUUGUUGAGAUCUGUAUCAACCUCAUGACUGCUGCAGGCAGCUGGCAUCCUCAAGGCUAUGCAAGACCUCCUGAACUAGCAGACAGCCAUAUGGUUGAGGAAGAUGUUUGGAGCUUCAGCUUCAGGAGUUUUCAGGUUGUUUAUGUAUCCAGUGUUUAAAAAUAGAAGACGUUAAAAAUUUUCAACUCUCUGUAAAAGGCUUUCAUUUAAUCAACGAUUACUUUUGAAUAGGUUGUGCCAUGAAAGGAAGCACGAAUAAGACAACUUUUGUGACAUUUGAAGAAUCGGGAGAAAAUUACCUGAGUAUAUUUUCCUUAAUAUUUUCUUUUGUAAGUAACUUUAUUGAAUAUAUUUCCAGUGCUUUGCUGACCUGCUUAAGUUUCUCUCUCCUUCCCUUCCUCCCUCCCUCCCUCCCCUUCUUCCCUCCUUUUCUACAAAUGCAAAAUUAAAUGAAAACACAAGACACCUAUGUAGUUAGCCAUUCUAUUAGGAAAUCAAGCUAUUGAAACUCAUUCUCCACUAGUCACUUAGUAGCUGAAAUUAAUGUUAAGCAAAGACAUCAAGAGAUCAGUUUGAUGUGCUAAUGUUGAAAACUCAAGCCUAUUAUAUAAUGGCAUCACCAGAGUGCAAACGCCCAAAGGCUUCUUCAAUAAGAUUACAAUCUUGACAUUUUUAGUGUUUGUGUGAUCCUCAACUCUCAGAAUGAUCUACAGACGCUUGUUAAAAUAUAGGUUUCUAGAGCCUACUCAAAUAAUAUGACUUAAUAAAUCUGAACUGGUGAUCGUUAUUUUGAUAAUUCGCAAGCUCCUUUCAGAGUAGCCAGAAUUAUUAAUACUCCAGGCUUAUGAGCCAGAUUGCCUGAGUUUGAGUCCUAAUUUUGCCACUUCCUAGCUGUGUGAUUUUGGGAAAGAUGCUUAAUCUCCCUAUACCCCAAUUUUCUCAUCUGUAAAGCUGACAUGAUAAUGAUGCUCACCUUCAAAGGGAUUUUAGGGGAAACAGAUAAUGCAAUGC